AUGCACGCUGGCGGCGUGCCUAAUCCAUGCAAGUCGCGCGCACAGACGAGGAGCUUGCUCCUCUGACGUUAGCGGCGGACGGGUGAGUAACACGUGGAUAACCUACCUAUAAGACUGGGAUAACUUCGGGAAACCGGAGCUAAUACCGGAUAAUAUAUUGAACCGCAUGGUUCAAUAGUGAAAGACGGUUUUGCUGUCACUUAUAGAUGGAUCCGCGCCGCAUUAGCUAGUUGGUAAGGUAACGGCUUACCAAGGCAACGAUGCGUAGCCGACCUGAGAGGGUGAUCGGCCACACUGGAACUGAGACACUGUCCAGACUCCUACGGGAGGCAGCAGUAGGGAAUCUUCCGCAAUGGGCGAAAGCCUGACGGAGCAACGCCGCGUGAGUGAUGAAGGUCUUCGGAUCGUAAAACUCUGUUAUUAGGGAAGAACAAAUGUGUAAGUAACUAUGCACGUCUUGACGGUACCUAAUCAGAAAGCCACGGCUAACUACGUG
rnacentral:rRNA from 1 species